CGCUUUCUCAAAAGCUGGGCUCCCCAGAGACCACGAGGGCCGAUCUCAGAAAUCGAAGAGGCACCUACUUUUCCAGCCUUUUCCAGCCUUGUCAGCACCUGUCACACGCACACUCAGUUUUGUGGAAAUUAUGGGCAUUCUGUCAAAGACUUCUGGGGAAGUAGAAAACACAUGAAUCUUACUGUUCAAUCACCCACUUCCCACACGCAACAAUAGCUCAUGGGUACCACAGAUAACUUUGCCAAAGUUCUCUGCCAAAGUUGAGCACGUGAAGCUUGCAGCUCCCACUACAUCGCUC
rnacentral:lncRNA from 1 species